rfam:Populus trichocarpa isolate Nisqually-1 chromosome 5, whole genome shotgun sequence.
UAAUCUAUCUGUGGUAGAUCCUCGUCUAAUUAUGGCAGACCCAUACCUCACUACUCAGAAUCACUCGUGAGAAUUAUUAUGUGAACAAUAACUUUUUAAAAU